AGAUGCGAUCAUACCAGCACUAAAGCACCGGAUCCCAUCAGAACUCCGAAGUUAAGCGUGCUUGGGCAAGAGUAGUACUAGGAUGGGUGACCUCCUGGGAAGUCCUCGUGUUGCAUUCC
rnacentral:rRNA from 1 species